rnacentral:piRNA from 1 species
UCCAACAACUGUUUGGACCCAAUUGU